rnacentral:rRNA from 1 species
CCUACGGGAGGCAGCAGUGAGGAAUAUUGGUCAAUGGCCGGAAGGCUGAACCAGCCAUGCCGCGUGAAGGUCAGUGCCCUAUGGGCGUUAAACUUCUUUUGUGCGGGAGCAAUAAUGGUCACGUGUGGCCAGACGAGAGUACCGUACGAAUAAGCAUCGGCUAACUCCGUGCCAGCAGCCGCGGUAAUACGGGGGAUGCAAGCGUUAUCCGGAUUUAUUGGGUGUAAAGGGAGCGCAGGCGGCACGGCAAGCCUGAUGUGAAAGCACGGGGCCCAACCGCGGGACUGCAUUGGGAACUAACGGGCUGGAGUGGCGGAGAGGUAGGCGGAAUGCCUGGUGUAGCGGUGAAAUGCGUAGAUAUUACGAGGAACACCAGUGGCGAAGGCGGCCUACUGGACGGUGACUGACGCUGAGGCUCGAAAGCGUGGGGAGCAAACAGGAUUAGAUACCCGAGUAGUC